rnacentral:rRNA from 1 species
GAGUUUGAUCAUGGCUCAGAACGAACGCUGGCGGCAUGCCUAACACAUGCAAGUCGAACGGACCCUUCGGGGUUAGUGGCGCACGGGUGCGUAACGCGUGGGAAUCUGCCCUUGGGUACGGAAUAACUCAGCGAAAGCUGUGCUAAUACCGUAUGAUGUCUUCGGACCAAAGAUUUAUCGCCCAGGGAUGAGCCCGCGUUGGAUUAGCUAGUUGGAGAGGUAAAGGCUCACCAAGGCGACGAUCCAUAGCUGGUCUGAGAGGAUGAUCAGCCACACUGGGACUGAGACACGGCCCAGACUCCUACGGGAGGCAGCAGUGGGGAAUAUUGGACAAUGGGCGCAAGCCUGAUCCAGCAAUGCCGCGUGAGUGAUGAAGGCCUUAGGGUUGUAAAGCUCUUUUACCCGGGAAGAUAAUGACUGUACCGGGAGAAUAAGCCCCGGCUAACUCCGUGCCAGCCGCCGCCGUA